UACGUAGGGUCCGAGCGUUGUCCGGAAUUAUUGGGCGUAAAGGGCUCGUAGGCGGUCCGUCACGUCGGGAGUGAAAACUCAGGGCUCAACCCUGAGCGUGCUUCCGAUACGGGCGGACUAGAGGUAUGCAGGGGAGAACGGAAUUCCUGGUGUAGCGGUGGAAUGCGCAGAGUAUCAGGAGGAACACCGGUGGCGAAGGCGGUUCUCUGGGCAUUACCUGACGCUGAGGAGCGAAAGCAUGGGGGAGCGAACAGG
rnacentral:rRNA from 1 species